rnacentral:rRNA from 1 species
UUGGAGGGCAAGUCUGGUGCCAGCAGCCGCGGUAAUUCCAGCUCCAAUAGCGUAUAUUAAAGUUGUUGCAGUUAAAAAGCUCGUAGUUGAAUUUCGGGGUUCUACCGUUGGUCGGGCUUUGUCUGUACUGGUGUGUAGAAUUUCUACCUUCUGGGGAACCAUCAUGCUAUUAAUUUAGCGUGGUGGGAAACCAGGACCUUUACCUUGAAAAAAUUAGUGUGUUCAGAGCAGGCUUAUGUCUGAAUACAUUAGCGUGGAAUAAUAGAAUAGGACGGUGGUCCUGUUUUGUUGGUUUCUGAAUCACCGUAAUGAUCAAUAGGGAUAGUUGGGGGCAUUAGUAUUCAAUUGUCAGAGGUGAAAUUCUUGGAUUUAUUGAAGACUAACUUCUGCGAAAGCAUUUGCCAAGGAUGUUUUCAUUAAUCAAGAACGAAAGUUAGGGGAUCGAAGACGAUCAGAUACCGUCGUAGUCUUAACCAUAAACUAUGCCGACUAGGGAUCGGACGAUGUUAAUUUUUCUUGACUCGUUCGGCGCCUACGGGAAAC